rnacentral:rRNA from 1 species
AUUGAACGCUGGCGGCAGGCCUAACACAUGCAAGUCGAGCGAGCGGCGGACGGGUGAGUAAUGUCUGGGAAACUGCCUGAUGGAGGGGGAUAACUACUGGAAACGGUAGCUAAUACCGCAUACCAUCAGAUGUGCCCAGCUGGGAUUGGCUAGUAGGUGGGGUAACGGCUCACCUAGGCGACGAUCCCUAGCUGGUCUGAGAGGAUGACCAGGCACACUGGAACGGAGACACGGGCCAGACUCCUCCGGGAGGCAGGAGUGGGGAAUAUUGCACAAUGGGCGCAAGCCGGAUGCAGCCAUGCCGCGUGUGUGAAGAAGGCGUUCGGGUUGUAAAGCACUUUCAGCGGGGAGGCGUUACCCGCAGAAGAAGCACCGGCUAACUCCGUGCCAGCAGCCGCGGUAAUUC